GGCAGCUGUCUACUCUCUUGUCACGGGUUCGUUGGGGUUUGUAAUCAUGAUAAGGAAUAUCAUUUAAACUUCAACAGUCAGAGUUUUUGAUUUAAUUUUACACAGGUUAAAUGUAAAUUUAAUAUUAAGUUCACUGUAGUGCUUAUUUAAGAAGCUUACUGUGAUACACUCCCAGCUUUCAGGAGAAAAAAUAACAGAAAGGUAACAGAAUCUGAAAAGACUUUGUUCCAAAAUUGCCUCUAAAGAAAAAUGUUAAUUCUAGAAGUAUUUGACAGUUGGAAGUAGCCUGCCACUGGAAACUAGUACUAGGAUGGAGAAAUAUUCUGUAAAUUAGUUCAGUUGACAGUAAUCAAAGAAUUGUGUCUCCUAGUAAAGUUUUUAGUUGAUGUGCAGAUGAGACAGUGACAGACCCCUUCUAACUAGAGCAGUCCUUGUUGUUGGUGAUUCUCCUCUUGGAAUAUUUAACUUCCCUUAGAAAUGCUGUCUCUAGCUGAGCCUGGUGGUGCACGCCUUUAAUCCCAGCACUCGGGAGGCAGAGGCAGGCGGAUUUCUGAGUUCGAGGCCAGCCUGGUCUACAAAGUGAGUUCCAGGAUAGCCAGGGCUACACAGAGAAACCCUGUCUCGAAAAACCAAAAUAAAAAAAGAAAAAGAAAAAGAACUGCUGUCUCUGACUCUGUAAAUAUAGGAACUAAACAUUUUGCUUUCUAGAAACCUCUUUUCUUGGUCUUUCUGGAUGUUGCUAUUUAAUGAUGGCUAACCAAAGUGCGUGCUUUCCUUUUUCACACUAUUCUUCUCUUUCUUUGUAGGUAUUUCUGACCUAGGUGAGUAAUUAUGUAUAUUCUAUGUUUAAUGGCAUUUUUUGGGGGGUGUUGAAAUAGUGAACUCUUUCUGGUGUGUGUGCAUGUGUGCAUGGGUGCGCGUGUGCUACCCAUCUAAACUAUAGCAAGUAGAACCUGAAUGUGUCAUAAUUCUCAAUUGUCAUCCAUAGAUAAUCAAGAAUAAUUGUGUUAAGUGUAAGGCUUUAAAUGUGAGGUAUGUGUCUGUUUAUAUACAAUAAGGUCUUUGUUUUACUUGUUAUUUCAAAGAGCUUCAAACAUUAAAAAGC
rnacentral:lncRNA from 1 species